GCUUAACACAUGCAAGUCGAGGGGCAGCGUGGGCGAUGGCAACAUUGCCCGACGGCGACCGGCGCACUGGUGAGUAACACGUAUGCGACCUGCCCCCAGCAAGGGGAUAACCCGUAGAAAUGCGGACUAAUACCCUAUAGGCACAGCAGCUGCAUGGCUGCAGUGUGAAAGGAUUCUGGCUGGGGAUGGGCAUGCGGCGCAUUAGCUAGUUGGCGGGGUAACGGCCCACCAAGGCGACGAUGCGUAGGGGUUCUGAGAGGAAGGUCCCCCACAUUGGUACUGAGACACGGACCAAACUCCUACGGGAGGCAGCAGUGAGGAAUAUUGGUCAAUGGACGAGAGUCUGAACCAGCCAAGUCGCGUGAGGGAAUGAAGGUCCUAUGGAUUGUAAACCUCUUUUGUCGGGGAGUAAAGUGAGCAACGUGUUGCUUAUUGAGAGUACCCGAAGAAAAAGCAUCGGCUAACUCCGUGCCAGCAGCCGCGGUAAUACGGAGGAUGCGAGCGUUAUCCGGAUUCAUUGGGUUUAAAGGGUGCGCAGGCGGCCCGUCAAGUCAGCGGUAAAAUCUCGGGGCUCAACCCCGUUCGGCCGUUGAAACUGGCGAGCUUGAGUGCGUGCGAGGAUGGCGGAAUGCGCGGUGUAGCGGUGAAAUGCAUAGAUAUUGCGCAGAACUCCGAUUGCGAAGGCAGCCGUCCAGUGCGCCACUGACGCUCAUGCACGAAAGCGUGGGGAUCGAACAGGAUUAGAUACCCUGGUAGUCCACGCGGUAAACGAUGAUUACUAGUUAUUCGCUGCGAUUGAGCAGUGAGUGACCGAGCGAAAGCGUUAAGUAAUCCACCUGGGGAGUACGCCGGCAACGGUGAAACUCAAAGGAAUUGACGGGGGCCCGCACAAGCGGAGGAACAUGUGGUUUAAUUCGAUGAUACGCGAGGAACCUUACCCAGGCUCAAACGGUCGGUGCCGAUGCUCGAAAGAGCAUUUUCCGCAAGGACGCCGUCCGAGGUGCUGCAUGGUUGUCGUCAGCUCGUGCCGUGAGGUGUCGGCUUAAGUGCCAUAACGAGCGCAACCCCCAUUUUCAGUUGCUACCAGGUCAUGCUGAGCACUCUGGAAAGACUGCCGGCGCAAGCUGUGAGGAAGGCGGGGAUGACGUCAAAUCAGCACGGCCCUUACGUCUGGGGCGACACACGUGUUACAAUGGCGGGGUACAGAGGGAAGCCAGGUGGCGACACCGAGCAGAUCCCGAAAACCCGUCUCAGUUCGGAUUGGAGUCUGCAACUCGACUCCAUGAAGCUGGAUUCGCUAGUAAUCGCGCAUCAGCCAUGGCGCGGUGAAUACGUUCCCGGGCCUUGUACACACCGCCCGUCAAGCCAUGGAAGCUUGGAGUGCCUGAAGUCCGUGA
rnacentral:rRNA from 1 species